rfam:Schistosoma rodhaini strain Burundi genome assembly, scaffold: SROB_scaffold0005513
ACACCACUGAUGGGUCCCAUAAUAGGACGAAACGGCCGUCCAGUGC